UUUUUCUUGUCUUCUUUUUUUUCUUUCUUAGCUUGAAGUUUUCCCCCUGUUACUGGCUUUUCUGCGCUUCCUUUUUUGGGAGCUUGGAGUUUUUCCUCUGCAACUGGCUUGUCCGUGCUUUCUUCACAUCUUCUACAUGGAGGUAAUAGAGGCGCUGGGCAUGGGCAGGCAGGCAUUUCUGGUUCGGGUUCCGGUGGAGGAGUAGGGGUCUUCCUCUUCGGACAUGGGGGUAGAAGUGUAUAACAUGGCGGUCUUACCGGCGUCCGAUCAUCUGUCUGUGGUGCAGCAACGACGUUUUUAGUUUUACCUUUAUCGGCCAUGAUGUUUAGAUUAUUGUUUAGAGUCUGUGAAACAGUGCUAUUUCUCUAGACGGCGGCCAUUGAAUAGUAAAGGAAUAUUUACGCGGCUAAUCAAAGGCGAAAAUGACGUCACGUUUCAAUAUAGAUGGCUUAGAGAUUA